rnacentral:tRNA from 1 species
GUGGAUGUAGUAUAGUCGGUCAGUAUCCCCGCCUGUCACGCGGGAGACCCGGGUUCGAAUCCCGGCGUCCGCG